rnacentral:misc_RNA from 1 species
AGCUCACACAAGACUAAGCUACAGUUUAUCCACUUUGAGAUGAUGCAGGAUGUUCCUUAGUUUUUGGUGAAGUAUUAGGAAUUUGCUAACUUCCUUCUGAUCUUCUUCCCACCCCCUCUUUGGCCAAUAUCUCUUUGGUUAAUCUAGGUGCCAAAUUUGACAUUCGUUGGGGACAUGGGAAUUCAAAUGUUGGGAAUCCCUCAAGUUA